CAAAAAACAUUCCAAAUGAGAGGGCUCGUUUGGAACUGUAGAGGGGUAGGCAAGAAAGGAAUGGCCACCUGCCUCUCAGACAUGAUUAGUGACCAUUCUCUGGAUUUUAUUGGUUUGCAAGAAACUAUGAAGAAAAUUUUUACUCCUAAAUGCAUUAGGAGAAUUGACCCUUUUGGUCUAUUCCAUUGGGAAUGGAUUCCAUCUGUGGGGAAGUCUGGUGGCAUCUUAGGAGGAGUGAGGCAAGAUACUAUGAAAAUCAUUUCCUAUACAAAAAGGAAAUAUGUUUUGCAGUUAAACCUGCAUGAUAAGAAGAAAAAAGUUGAUUGGGGCCUGCUGGUGGUCUAUGGGGCAGCCCAUGAGGAGUUUAAAGAGGAAUUUUUAAUAGAGCUGGCUGCUAGUUGUAGUAGCAUGACUGUGCCUUAUAUUGUAGGGGGUGAUUUCAAUGUCUUGCGCCAUGGUGAUGAGAAAAAUAAAAAGAUGUAG
rnacentral:rRNA from 1 species